CGAGCUUGAAGAAAGGGAGCGGGAGGAGAGAGAUAAGCCCGGCGGGCCCCGCAUGUAAGUCACUCACGCGCUUACCUGGUGGCCCCGUUGACCACUUUAAGUGGAACCGUAUUAACAGAAACGCGUUUUCCAAUCGCGAAAGCGUAUUAUGGUUUUGCUUCGGCUGGAAGUACGUUUCCUCUGUUCUGAAGGCGUAAUCCUCGAAAUGCGUUUUCUCUUUUUCAGCUCAGCCGGCCGAAGUGGUUAUAUCUGAACGUUCACUGUUUAGCCCCUUUUCUGCCUAAAAAGUGAACGGCCACAACUUUUCACUCGUAACUCCGAUUGAGCAGCCUCCGCCCCCUUCUCAAAGCUCCGCCAUCCCCGUCCUGUACUCCCUUGGAAAAGAUCGAUUUUUUUCGACGGGAGGAGUCAUUCCGGCUUGAUCCGGUGGUGGCGAUGCCGGCCAGAUCCUGCGACGGCGCCGACGCGAGCCACCAAGGGCCGUGGACUCCCUCUCUGGCAUCGCUUCCGCCAAACCCUAGCGGCUCGGCGUCCCGGCGACCAUCUCCGAGGUGGUUUCUUUCUGCAGUAGCCAGCCCAUGGAGAAGGCCCGGACAAAUUCUCGGAGCAGUACGCCCGCCGCUCCAGCACCUUUCCUCACCGCCGUCGUCAUUCAAGGUUCUCUCUGUGGUUGAAAUUUGGCAAGAUGAAGUUGUUCCUAUGGUUUUUGUCAUGAAAAUUAAAAUGACACCUUUGGAGUGUUGUGCUGACAUGGAUGGUUUAGAUGCUCAAAUUCAAGAGAUCAAAGAAGCUGCUGAACUUCCUGAGCUAUAUGAGGACAUUGGAUUCAGGCCGCCGAAGGGAGUCAUACUGUAUGGGGAACAGGGACAGCUUUACUUGCAAAGGUGCACUGUCAUUGUAUAUAUUCUCUCAGCCUCUUUAUUCUUGAAUUCAGUAUAUUCAGCUCUGCAGGAAGGUCCGUCUUCACAUCAAAUGUCUGCCGAUUGGAGUGACGAUAACACUACGAUCUUGACCGAGCUCUUUGUCCAACAAGUGCGUGCUGGCAAUAGGCCAGACAAGCACUUGACUCAAAAUGCUUAUGAGGAAGUUGCGAAGGAUUUUAAAGUCAGAACAGGCCUGGAGUACACCAGGCUCCAACUAAAGAACAAGUGGGAUAAGUUGAAGACUGAUUACAGCAAUUUCAGAAAACUCAAAUUGAAGGAGAUUGGUGGUGGGUGGGACUAUGAGAGAAACACCAUCAAACAAGAUGAUGAAUGGUGGAAGAAAGCAAAGAUAGACAUCCCUGGCUGUGGCAAGUUCCAAAAGCGCGGACUUCGAAAUGAGAAUAACUUAUCUAUCAUGUUUGCUGACAUCACAAGUGAUGGUACAGAUCACUGGAAUCCUGCUUCAGGCACCAUUCCCCAAUCUAGCAGUGCAACUUCAGUUUUCAAUGUGGACGACAUACAAGAUGUUGAUCUGGAGGAGACCCAAACAGGUGAGUCACAUGCCGAUGGAAAAGGGAAGAGACUUGGAAGGUAUGUGGAUGGCAAUAACAAGAAGCCAAAGACAUCUCUUGUUAUACAAGAACAGAUAACCAGGGUUGGAGAUAUAGCAGAGAGGACCCAAUCCAGCUUUGAGUCAUACAUGAAGAAAGAAGAGAGUUCAUCGAUUACUUCUGUGAUGGAUCUGGUUGUUGAGUGUGGUGCAAUAGUAGGCAGUGAUGAAUAUUUCAUUGCUAGUGAACUAUUUGUGAAGCGAGAGCAGAGAGAGAUGUUCCUGCAUAUGACUGAAAGUGCUGCUCGUUUAGAUUGGUUGCGUAGGAAAUACAACAGCAAGUAUGGGCAUUAGAUGCUACUGCUGUUGUUUUUGCCUAUUGGGAUGUAAUACUAAUUUAAAGUUUGAACUUAGUUAUGUACUCAGGUUUACUUGUAAGACUAUUUGGGUUGUAACAUUAUUAUGUUAGUCCCAUUCUUCCCUUUUUCAGUUGUUUGUCUUCAUUUACCUUGUUUCAGCCGUGUGUCUUCAAUCUUGGUAAUAUUUCUUGUAAUCUUACUUAUAUUGCUGCUAUGACUCAUCUUGCUGAUGGUUACAUGAUAAAUGUUGUUACAUAUGACUUGUCUUUAAUGUUACAUAUGAUUCUUACUUAUCUUUCUGCUAUGACUAAUCUGGUUGAUAAUUAAGUACUAAUUGUUGUUACUUGUGUAUGUGCAG
rnacentral:rRNA from 1 species